GAGUUUGAUCCUGGCUCAGGAUGAACGCUAGCGGCAGGCCUAAUACAUGCUAGUCGAACGGUUGGUAGCAGUACCAAUAGUGGCGCACGGGUGCGUAACGCGUAACCAACCUACCCGAAUCUGGGGGAUAGCCCGCCGAAAGGCGGAUUAAUACCGCAUAAAACUGCAGCACGGCAUCGUGUAACAGUUAAAGAUUUAUUGGAUUCGGAUGGGGUUGCUUGCCAUUAGCUAGUUGGCGGGGUAACGGCCCACCAAGGCGACGAUGGCUAGGGGAGCUGAGAGGCUGGUCCCCCACACGGGCACUGAGAUACGGGCCCGACUCCUACGGGAGGCAGCAGUAGGGAAUAUUGGGCAAUGGACGCGAGUCUGACCCAGCCAUGCCGCGUGCAGGAUGAAGGCUUUCUGAGUCGUAAACUGCUUUUACCAGGGAAGAAAAAAGGGGAUGCGUCCUCUACUGACGGUACCUGGUGAAUAAGCACCGGCUAACUCCGUGCCAACAGCCGCGGUAAUACGGAGGGUGCAAGCGUUGUCCGGAUUUAUUGGGUUUAAAGGGUGCGUANGCGGCUUGAUUAAGUCUUGGGGUGAAAGCCCCGUUGCUCAACAACGGAACUGNCCUGGAAACUGGGUUUAGCUUUGAGUACAGAAC
rnacentral:rRNA from 1 species